CACGCUGAGGAUGUGGUUUUCCGUUUGUCCCCUGGGGAUGCUGUUGACUGCACUCACCUCAGGCUUGCGUGGGUUGUCUCUGCCUGGCCUCGCUCUCGCAGCGUGGGGGUGAAAAGGGACAGGCGGAGCGCUUACUGGCUGUGGACAGGAGCUGCCGCGGCUGAAGUUGGAGGGGCUAGAGAAAGGUAAAGAAGAAGAAAUCGAAGGCCGGCCGGCUGGCAGCUGCCUCCCGCUGCAGGCAAGAGAGAGCCUGCCUCUCCAGGUGAGGAAGGAUACCUCUUCGUAGUCCGCAGCAGGUCAUGCUGCCAACGUGCACCGCAGGAUCUGUAUGUGUCACUAGCAGCAUGGUGGAGGACAGCCAAGCGACCAGAGUUACAGAAGAGGAAGGGAGGAGGGAAGGAGAAAGAAGCGUCCGAACUGGCAAAUUCUCCUGGCAGCGCCGAGAGCGAGCGCUGCGUAUCCUGCGCCCUGUUCCUCAUUUUUAGUGGCCUCCGCCUCUGCCCUGCAGCCCAUCGCUCCAGGAGCUAACUGACCGCCUGUCUGUUCCCCGCCGGACCGAUGAGCAUGACUCCGGGAACGACUGCUGAGGUGUCCCAGGGGCAGGGGGAGUGUCAGAGGCUCCAAGCUCUGGAGCAGACUUGCUCCCGGGACUUGUUACGUGCGUGACUGAAUAAACAUUCCCCGUCUCCUUUGCCCGC